rnacentral:piRNA from 1 species
UGGGCGAAACAGGGAGCCUUUCCUGUGGA